rnacentral:rRNA from 1 species
GAACGCUAGCGGCAGGCUUAAUACAUGCAAGUCGAGGGGUAGCAUGAUUGUAGCAAUACAAUUGAUGACGACCGGCAAACGGGUGCGGAACACGUACACAACCUUCCUACAAGUGGGAAUAGCCCAGAGAAAUUUGGAUUAAUGCCCCAUAGUAUUAUUGAAUGGCAUCAUUUGAUAAUUAAAGUUCCAACGGUAUAAGAUGAGCAUGCGUCCCAUUAGUUAGUUGGUAAGGUAACGGCUUACCAAGACAAUGAUGGGUAGGGGUCCUGAGAGGGAGAUCCCCCACACUGGUACUGAGACACGGACCAGACUCCUACGGGAGGCAGCAGUGAGGAAUAUUGGUCAAUGGGCGCAAGCCUGAACCAGCCAUGCCGCGUGCAGGAAGACGGUCCUAUGGAUUGUAAACUGCUUUUAUACAGGAAGAAACCCUCCCACGUGUGGGAGCUUGACGGUACUGUAGGAAUAAGGAUCGGCUAACUCCGUG